GACGGAUGGGGCUAGCGUUGUUCGGAAUUACUGGGCGUAAAGGGCGCGUAGGCGGCCAUUUAAGUUAGACGUGAAAGCCCUGGGCUUAACCUAGGAACUGCGUUUAAUACUGGAUGGCUAGAGUAUGGUAGAGGAAAGCGGAAUUCCUAGUGUAGAGGUGAAAUUCGUAGAUAUUAGGAAGAACACCAGAGGCGAAGGCGGCUUUCUGGACCAUUACUGACGCUGAGGCGCGAAGCGUGGGGAGCAAACAGG
rnacentral:rRNA from 1 species